GACGAACGCUGGCGGCGUGCUUAACACAUGCAAGUCGAACGGCAAGGCCCUGCUUUUGUGGGGUUCUCGAGUGGCGAACGGGUGAGUAACACGUGAGUAACCUGCCCUUGACUUUGGGAUAACUUCAGGAAACUGGGGCUAUUACCGGAUAGGAGCUCCUGCUGCAUGGUGGGGGUUGGAAAGUUUCGGCGGUUGGGGCUGGACUCGCGGCUUAUCAGCUUGUUGGUGGGGUAGUCGUUUACGAAGGCUUUGCCGGGUAGCCGGCCUGAGAGGGUGACCGGGCACAAUGGGACUGAGGUACGGCCCAGACUGCUACGGGGGGCAGCAGUGGAGAAUAUUGCACAAUAAGCGGAAGUCUGAUACAGAAGCGCCGCGUGCGGGAUGACGGCCUUCGGGUUGUAAACCGCUUUCGCCUGUGACGAAGCGUGAGUGACGGUAAUGGGUAAAGAAGCACCGGCUAACUACGUG
rnacentral:rRNA from 1 species